rnacentral:rRNA from 1 species
GCAGGCCAACGCUUGAAUACAUUAGCAUGGAAUAAUGAAAUAGGACAUCCGAUUCUAUUUUGUUGGUUUCUAGGAUCGAUGUAAUGAUUAAUAGGGAUAGUUGGGGGCAUUAGUAUUCAAUUGUCAGAGGUGAAAUUCUUGGAUUUAUUGAAGACUAACUACUGCGAAGGCAUUUGCCAAGGAUGUUUUCAUUAAUCAAGAACGAAAGUUAGGGGAUCGAAGACGAUCAGAUACCGUCGUAGUCUUAACCAUAAACUAUGCCGACUAGGGAUCGGAUGAUGCUUAUUUUUUAAUGACUCAUUCGGCGCCUUACGGGAAACCAAAGUGUUUGGGUUCCGGGGGGAGUAUGGUCGCAAGGCUGAAACUUAAAGGAAUUGACGGAAGGGCACCACCAGGGGUGGAGCCUGCG